AGAGCUAAAGAUAAAGUGGAGGAUUACUAGCUGAUGCAGGUUACUGCUAGAAUAUGAAAAUACAACAAAGUAAGGCAGCAGAAGGCAGGCGUUUAGACAGCAGGGGGAGGAAUAGAAAAACAGACUCAAAACACGAGUAAAUGAAACUGCUACGUGGCUCCGUUACUCACCCGCCGUCUUUACAGAGUUAACAAGAGAGCAGGUCAAACUGCAGAAGAGCUGAAACUGAACACAAACUCUUAGAAAAGAACCCCGGCACCCCUCUUCAUGUUACGUCUGACAAUAUCGACUGAAUCUCUUUCAUGCACUCCUGACUGAAAACAAGACAAACGGUGCUAAAACGAGCUCCUUUAAACCGCUCACAACUAUUGUUCUCCAACUGUUGAUCAGUUCUGCCAACUGUGGACACUGGACACAUGUAAUAUUGUGAUUUCUAGUGAAUUUUGAUCCCGCACAUCGUAACAAAAUGAACCUGCGAGCCACUGCAUAAAGUACAAGUUGCACCUGUUCAACAGGUUUCACUUUGAGUUGCAUAGUAUUAAAAAAUAGCUCUUUGACUUUAAUAAAAACAGACACUAGGGGGCACUCAAUGCCCUCCAUGGCUGAGUCAUUACAUAAUCAACUGCUCUUUACAAAAAAACACAUUAUCAAAGCCCAGAAGACUGAAUUCCAUCAGUUCUUCUCACAUCAAAAUCAGAAACCUGCUGCUUGUGUUUUGAAAUGCACAUAACGCGCACCGACUACAAAUAUUUAGUCAUAUAAAGUUUCUUAGCGAUGGCUUCAUUCAACUUCUUUGGGUUGUCAGGUAAUAAAAAACAAAAAUAUCAGUCGACACAAUGUGAACCAAUUAGUGCAAAAGAGAUUAAGUGCAACGUUACAUGAUGUCCGAUGUCCACUGAUCACUGCCUGCUCUCUGAAUCGCUCACUUCAGCCACACAGUGGUGGUGUUGGGGGGGUUUACUGUACUGCUGUAACAAAAAUAAAAGGACAGAAAGCUGCAAACACACACAGGACAUAAUCGAUCCACAGUAGCACAGCGCAUGCCCUUAUUCACGACGAGAUUUAAAGUACAGUACAAGCGCCAUUACAAGUCAGUACAAAAUGUAAAAGAAAUCAUAUGCAAUGAAUGUACAUUAAAGUAUUUUUUGAAAACAUCCAAAAAAGAAAGUUCCUUUUUUUUGUUUUUUUUUUUAAAACAGAUUUUGACGUUGGUUUGUCCCAGUGCCCUGCCAGAGAGAAUCACAGCCGACUCCUGUCUGACUGAGGAAAGUGGAGAUGUGUCCAAAUUUGCAAGGAAAAAA